rnacentral:lncRNA from 1 species
UAUGCUCCCUCAUGUUUGCACUCGAAACUUCUUUUAUAGGCCUAUAACGUGGAUUUGAGUUAAAUGGGAUAAAUCAAUUAUGUUAGGAGUUAAACGUGAUUCGAACUUAAGAAUUUGUUUAUUCUGAUAUCAUAUUAAAUAAUAUAAAAUAAUCAUAAAAAGGUGAUGGUAUUUCACCAGCACAAGUGGAGCCAGUUCUCGCUUAUUCUAUACCUCUCAGAUCCUUUAUAAAGUCGGACUAGAGUCAAGCUCGCAAGAUCUUCUUUUUCCGCUAAUUCCGCCAAACCCAUAAUUCCCUCUUAUGUGGUUUCACUAAAUAGUAGACGUGAGGAGUGAAAAUCUCGUUAAUUCAUUUAUGCACGUCAGAAAUAGCAAGUAGAGAUGCAACGGUGCAAUAAUAUAGAUAUUUUGAAGUGUUUCUCUAUCUGUCACAGUGUUACAAUCAACAACUCAGCAAUGCCACGUAAUUCCUCGACUCUAGUACGUACAAAGAUCACUUCUCAUCAAACAGUCGGUGCAACAUCAGUGAACAUAUGUAUGUUUGAUAAGGUUACAUGUGGCUUACAUUGCUUUUUUUUUAUUUAUUUUUGAGAGAUCGAUAGUAUGCUACCCGUUUCGUUUAUUUCAUUUAAACAUAAAUUUAGCAGAAAAUGUGAAUCAACUAGGAUUCGAACUUGAGACCUCGGGUAUCAAUCACCAAGUCAUUUAUCACUUGCGGUAGGGACGGCCGAUAUGUGGCUUACAUUGCUUGCAUUAAGAAAUAAAAAUAGAGCUAGCGAAAGAAAGAUGCAUGAAUAAUUAUUGGAAAUCGAUCUCUUUCAUAAACAAAGUUGAUGGAAGCACAUUGUCUCCAAGCUAUAGAAAGAAAUCUAAGGUGAUGGAUAUUAUCGCAAACUGAUCGUUUAACGAAACCAGGUAUAUAAGUUUAAGAACCAAAAUGGAAUCAAAAUUUGCUGGUCAACCCGAAAGGACGAAAGGAACUUUUCAACUGAUACUAACAUCUUGCUAGCGACUGCUUUGUUGGCGCACUUAAUAAGUUCUUAAAGAACAUUAUAUAUAUAGUUAAGAAAUGAAAAGAUAACUUCUAUAUAAGCAUCCUUGCAUGAAUUGGAUGUGACGCUCCAUUCCCAAAGAGUCACUCAUCCUACGACUACUCUAGCCCUAGCGUAUUUAACUCUCUUAACAUUUUAUGCCUAGUCACCAUUUAAAAUGUUAUAGCAAGAUUACAUGAUUUAGCCAUGUUAUAUUUAAUAAAUAAGGCUAUUCUUGCUAGCUUUAGCCAAUCUUUUGGGGUGCCGUGGUCCACCCACAACAACCGUCAACCAGGGAGACAUGCUCUACUUCCUGUAUGACUCUAGUUCAGUCGAGAUUCAUCUCACACUUUUGCCUGGUGAUUGGCUCUGAUAUCAAUUAUAGCGCACUACUUCCCAGGGGUCACCCAUCCUAGCGACUACUCUGUCUUUAGCAGGGUUAACUCUCUUAACCUCUUAAACGUAGCUACUGCUCAAAAUGCUAUAAUCGAAGUACGAGAUUUAACCAUAUUACAGGGAGUGUUUGGCUUAGUUUUUGAAAAGUUAUUUUGAGCUCAAAAGUGAUUUUCAGCUCCGAGUGUUUGGCAACCUCAUUUUCAAAAUCCGAUUCUAAUUGUUAGAAUCAGUUUUCUGAUUUCCGAUGCCUAAAAGCAAAAACAGCUAAAACUUACUUCUUGAAAUCUGAUUUUGAUUUUGGACUCAAACCUCAAAGUUUUAUUCUAAUUUUCGAUUCAAAGUUUAAAUUUAAAUUUAAUUUUGAAUUUGAAUUUUUAAAUUUUAAUUAUUAAAUUUCAAAUUAAAAUUUAAAAUUAAUAUAUUACAUUUCAAAUUCUAAGUUAUAAAUUUAAAUUUAAAAUCUAAAAUUUUAAAUUUUAAACUUAAAAAUUUAAAUUUCAAACCUAAAAUUUAAGAUAAAAUUCAAAUUUUAAAAUUUUAGAAUUUAAAGUUAACUAAAAAUUUAAAUUUAAAAUUGAAAAUUAUUUGUUUUAAUUUUCAAAUUAUAAAUUUCAAAUUUUAAAAUUCAAAAUUUAAAAUUUAAAAUUUUAUUUUUAAAAUUUAAAUUUCAUUAUUAAAAUUUUAAAAUAAAAGUUUGAGAUUUGAAAAUUUUAAGAUUUUAAAUUUGAAUUUAAAUUUUCUAAAUUUUAAAUUUUAAAUUUAAACUUAAAAUUUAAAUUUUAAACUUAAAACUUUUAAAAUUUGAAUUUUAAAAAAUAAAAUUUUUAAAUUUUUAAAUUUUAAAUUUCAAAUGUCAAGUUUUACAUUUAGAUUUUAAAUUUGAAAUUAAAAAUUUAUAUCUAGCUUAAAAUUUUAAAUUGUAAAUCCUAAAUUUUUAACUUUUAUGCAGCUUUACAAGAUCACUUCACAAAAAUCACUUUUAUCUAAAGUCAGGCAACGCUCUAUAGCUUUUAACCAAAAUCAAUUUUUUCCCAACAAAAAUCAAUUUUUUAGAAAUUACUUUUCUAGAAUCUAGGCCAAACAGACCCUAUAUUUAAUAUAUAGAACUAUACUAAAUCUUAGGGUAUCAUAUUAUUCAGUCUUUAAGCCAUGAAGUUCUCGUCUGACUCAGUCACGCUUGCAAGCAUCAGAUGAUAUGAGAUUCACCGCGCUAGACUUAGCAAAUAUUGUAAGGAGCCGCGGUCGACCCACAACAACCGUCAUCUGUAGAGCCACGCUCUACCCAGGGGUCACCCAUCCUAGCAACUACUCUAUUUCUAGCAUUCUUAACUCUCUUAAUCUCUUUGACCUAGCCAUUGCUCAAAAUGCUAUAGCCAAAUUACGAGAUUUAACUCUAUUAUAUCUAAUUUAUAAAAGUAUUAUAAAUUCAACGUGAUCAACUCCCCAUCAAAUGUUGAUUGCAGAAUAUGUUGUCUCUACACAGGAAAAUCUAAAGAGUGGCCCAAAAUGACUUGAAUGGUUUGUCACAGUUAAGGCAUAUCUAUCGAAACAAGAUGUGCAUGAUUAAAUUAAGGACCACAAAAAGUUAAUUUGGAGUGUUUUUUUGUUAAAAGGAUAAUACUCCACCAUCGAAAAUAACUUAUGAGUACAAAUGGGUCUAUAUUCAUAAGAGUAUAGUAGCCUUAAUCAUGCACAUCUUGUUUCGAUAGAUAUGCCUUAACUGUGACNAUAUAUACAUGUAUAUAUGUAUAUAUACAUGUAUACAUAUAUAUAUAUAUAUAUACAUACAUAUAUGCAUAUAUAUGUGGUUAAGAUGAUGUGAGCCCCCUAGGGUUGAGUGGGUGGUUGGUUGAAUAGUAUAAUCUAACGGAUAAAAAUAAUUAAAGGGUUACAUAUAACGGUGGAAAACUCGAUAGCACCAAGCCCUUGAUGCGAUUGAUAAUAUUCAAGUCGAACUAUAUAUAUUUGUACAUAUGUAUAUGUAUAUGUAUAUGUAUAUACAUAUGUUUAUACAUAUACAUAUACAUAUACAUAUACAUAUGUAUAUGUAUAUACAUAUGUUUAUACAUAUACAUAUACAUAUACAUAUACAUAUGUAUAUGUAUAUACCUAUACAUAUGUAUAUACAUAUACAUAGAGUUGAGCUAGAAUACUCUCAAAAGCAACAAUAAGGUGGUGCUUUUGAGUUUUUAAUCAUUGGAUGGAGGAAUGUAAGAUUGUGAUGAUGGUGGUAGGUGGUGGUAGAUGGAAUAUAUAUAUAUAUAAAUAACGGGAUGGUGCUUUUGAGUUUUUAACCAUUGGAUGAAGAGAUGUAGGGUUGAGAUGAUUAUGGUAGGUGGUGGUAGAUGGAAUAGUGUUUGAUUUAAGAGGUAUUAGUAAUUAAAGAAUAGAUCCAAGGGCUAGAAACUUAGAAACACCAAGGGAUUGGUGCUUCUAAAAGUAUUCUAGCACAAUUUUAUAUAUAUAUAAUUGAGUUAGAAUACUUUUAGAAGCAUCACCUCAUUGGUGUUUCUAAGUUUUUACCCCUUGGAUCUACUCCUUGAUUAUUAAUAGCCUUUGGAUCAAACACUAUUCCACCUACCACCACCUAUCACCAUCAUCUCAACCCUACAUUUUUUCAUUCAAAGGCUAAAAACUCAAAAGCACCACCUCUUUGAUGCUUUUGGAAGUAUUCUAGCUCAACUCAUAUAUAUAUAUAUAUAUAUAGCAGGACUGCUGUACUUUUAGGAGCACGGAGGCCUCUCUGCUCUUGAGCCGUUUUUAACGAUGGAAUUUUCGAAUCGACGAUCGGCUCCGUUAGACUUGAUCUAGCGUAUUUGAAGUUUCUAGAAAAUAAUAUUUGCGGUUUUUCAAUAUUAUUUACGAAGCAAUCAAAAGGAUUUAACAUUAACAGCUGAAAAUAAAAAUUCUAUAAAAAGUGGUGAUAUAACACUAAAAUUUUCGAUCAGAUAUAUUGAUUUGGUUGUAGAUAGUAUAAAAAAUUUUGUAUCAAAAUUUCAUCUAAUUUAAAUAUUUUACACCGUUAAACUUAAAAAUUAUAGACAUCAACCAUUAAAAAUUAUUGAUUUUGAACCAUUUCGAUCAUUAGAUAAUGAUAUUGAAAAAUCGCAAAAAUUAUUUUAUAGAAACUUCAAAUGCAAGAUCAUGUCUAACGAAACCGAUUGUCGAUAUGAAAAUUCCAUUGAAAAUUUCAUGCUCCUAAGUGCACCGCAGUCUUGCUCUAUAUAUAUAUAUAUAUAUAUAUAUAUAUAUAUAUAUAUAUAUAUAUAUAUAGAGAGAGAGAGAGAGAGAGAGAGAGAGAGAUGUGUGAUGGGNNNNNNNNNNNNNNNNNNNNNNNNNNNNNNNNNNNNNNNNNNNNNNNNNNNNNNNNNNNNNNNNNNNNNNNNNNNNNNNNNNNNNNNNNNNNNNNNNNNNNNNNNNNNNNNNNNNNNNNNNNNNNNNNNNNNNNNNNNNNNNNNNNNNNNNNNNNNNNNNNNNNNNNNNNNNNNNNNNNNNNNNNNNNNNNNNNNNNNNNNNNNNNNNNNNNNNNNNNNNNNNNNNNNNNNNNNNNNNNNNNNNNNNNNNNNNNNNNNNNNNNNNNNNNNNNNNNNNNNNNNNNNNNNNNNNNNNNNNNNNNNNNNNNNNNNNNNNNNNNNNNNNNNNNNNNNNNNNNNNNNNNNNNNNNNNNNNNNNNNNNNNNNNNNNNNNNNNNNNNNNNNNNNNNNNNNNNNNNNNNNNNNNNNNNNNNNNNNNNNNNNNNNNNNNNNNNNNNNNNNNNNNNNNNNNNNNNNNNNNNNNNNNNNNNNNNNNNNNNNNNNNNNNNNNNNNNNNNNNNNNNNNNNNNNNNNNNNNNNNNNNNNNNNNNNNNNNNNNNNNNNNNNNNNNNNNNNNNNNNNNNNNNNNNNNNNNNNNNNNNNNNNNNNNNNNNNNNNNNNNNNNNNNNNNNNNNNNNNNNNNNNNNNNNNNNNNNNNNNNNNNNNNNNNNNNNNNNNNNNNNNNNNNNNNNNNNNNNNNNNNNNNNNNNNNNNNNNNNNNNNNNNNNNNNNNNNNNNNNNNNNNNNNNNNNNNNNNNNNNNNNNNNNNNNNNNNNNNNNNNNNNNNNAGUCUCUCUCUAUAUAUAUAUAUAUAUAUAUAUAUAUAUAUAUAUAUAUAUGAGCACAGUAAUCUUUAUGUUUCUAAAUUUUUAACUAUCCAUCAAAACUGGUGAUUGAUUAGGAUUUUCAUUCAAUUUCUCUUCUUUUUUUUAAUUUCUCUCCAAUAUCUCUUCUCACUCACCCUUCCCACCACCAUCACCUACCCAAUCAACCUACCUCCUUUUACCCGAUAACUUUUAAUGUAUUUAAUCAAAUAUUUGUAAAUUAUUUGGGAUAAAAUCUUAUACAUGCUCCUUCCGUAGAGGGUUUAGGGUCGUAAUUAAUGCAUGUAAUAAUUUAGAUAUUCUUAAGUGUUUCUCUAUUUGUCACAGUGUGUUACAAUCAAAAUCUUGUAUUCAUUUUUUUUUAACAAUUUAAUUAAAUAAAAUUUUGUAUUCAUUUUAUUUUUGUGUAAAUUUAGGAUUAAUUUGUUGAACAUGCAUUUGCUUUUCUUUUUCCAAUUGUUAAUUUUUACCUUAUUUCUUGGUUUAUUUUUUGUUGUCACGCUUCUGAUUAUAAAAUAGAAGGAACAAAUAUUUUUAAUGUGCAUAUAAAAAACAUUAUGAUAAAUUCAUAAUUGUUUAUAUUCCUCUCCUAUGCUCGUAAUUUUCAUCACAUUGGGAAUUAAUAAACUUAAUUUGCAUCCGUGUAAAUUUAGUUUAGAGUUAUGUAUCACAGACACUUCUAUAAACAUUGCAUGUUUGUGUCGGACCCGCGCGUGUCCGAUGUGGACACUUCUGGGAUACAUGUUCAAUGCCGAUCCAUAACGGAAACAAAUAAAAAAAUAUAUAUACAUAUUUUUACUUUAAUUUUUUUAUGCACAUAUAAUAUAAGAUGACAUAUUUUAAUUAGCUUUUAAAUGAAUGCAUACAAAUUUUUGUUGACAAUAUAAAUAAAUUAUGUAUAUUAAAAAAAUUUUCUUCGUAAAAUAUAUCAACUCUCAAUAAAAAUUUGGCUAAAUUACAGAAAAUCUCCUUGUAAUAACUCACUUUUUCACUUUCCCCUCCUGACAUUUAAAAACAUACACUUUGCCUCCUUAUAAAAUAAAAAAUGUGCACUUCACCCGCUACAGUUAGGGUUCUGUUAUAAAAUAUUUUUUUAUGCCGAAAAUACCCCUCCGCCCUUUUCUCUGUUGCUUCGCCUCUCUCCAGCUUGCCACCUCGCCGCCGCCUCGCCGCCUCGCAGCCUAGCCGCCUCGCCGUCCUCCACUGCAUGCCUCGCCCUCCCCCACAUCCCCUUCGCCGUCGUCCGCCGCCUCAUCUUCGCCUUCGUUGCCCUUGCCUACCUCUCCAUCAACACCUAUCUCCGUUUCCUCCCUACUGUCGCCAAAAUCGAGGGGCGGCGAGGGUGCAGGAGGAGAAGGGAAGCAGGUAGAGAAGAAAUGGAGAGAAAUCACGGCCGAUUGAGGUGAGAAUCGCGGUCGAUCGAAGGGGCGGCUGAGGAAGAUGAGGAAGAAGACGAAAAUGGCGAGGGGCAAAAUGGUCAUUUUACACACCGUAACCCCCUCUGUAAACAUUUUUCAUUUUAUAAAGAGGCAAAGUAUAGGUUUUUAAAUGUCAGAGGGAAAAGUGAAAAAGCAGGUUAUUAUAGGGGGGUUUUCUGUAAUUUAGCCUAAAAAUUUUACUAAUUUUCAUUCAUACGAGAAAUAUAAUAAUAUUUUAUCAAAAUUAAUAUUUUAUAUAUAAUAAAUAUAUAUUAUUAUAUUAAUAAGAAUUGAGCUCCUAUACUUUUAAAAGUACCAAGUCAUUGGUGCUUGUAAGUUUUCGGCCCUUAGAUUAAGAGAUAUACGAUUAGGAUGAUGUGGGCCCUUAGGGUUGAGUGUGUGGUUGGCUGAAUAGUAUAAUCUAACGGAUAAAAAUGAUCAAAGGUGUAGCUCUAGCGGUAAAAAAUUUACAAGCACCAAGUACUUGGUGCUUUUAUAAGCACCAUAGUCGGACUCUAUUAAUAAUAUUAUAUUUUAUUAGGAGCAGGGCUGCUGUGCUCUCAGGAGCACAGAGCCCUCCAUGCUCCUAAGCCGUUUUUAAUGAUGGGAUCCUCGAAUCGACGAUCAGCUCUGCUAGACUUGAACUUGCAUAUUUGAAGUAUGUAGAAAAAGAACUUUGCGAUUUUUCAAUAUCGUUUACUCAGUGAUCAAAAAGGUUCAAAAUCAACAGCUGAAAAUAAAAAUCUCAUAAAAAGUGGUGAUAUAGUACUAAAAUUUUCGAUUAGAGAUAUUAAACUUGCUGUAGAUAGUAUAAAAAAUUUUGUAUCAGAAUUUCGUCUGAUUUGGAUACUUCUACGCCGUUAAACUUGAAACGGCAGAUAUCGACCAUUAAAAAUUAUUGAUUUUGAAUCUUUUCGAUCACUAAGUAAACGAUAUUGAAAAAUCACAAAAUUUAUUUUCUACAUACUUCAAAUAUGCUAGAUCAAGUCUAGCGGAACCGAUUGUCGAUUCGGGAGUCCAUCAUCGAAAACGACUCAGGAGCACGGAGGGCUAACUCUGUGCUCCUGAGAGCACACAAAAUCUACUCUUUAUUAGUAGUGUUCAUGCCGUACCCAUGUCCUAAUUUUUUUAAAGGUGCCGCGUCACCGUAUCCGAAUCAUACCAUGUUUCAUGUCCCUUGUUAAUGUCCGUGACGUCUAGAUUUAGAGAUGACAACGGUUACCCUAUACUCUUUUCUUCAAUAAAGUGUGAUUUCCACGUGCGGUAAUACGCGUAAAGGACUGAUACAUGUUAUUGGGUCCAAACAACAUGCUAAGUAUAUUAAUCAUUGUUAAAUAAUACAAAACAAGUCCAAACAAUAUGCUAAGUAUAUUUGUCAUUGUUAAAUAAUAUAAAACAAUCGUUGUACUCUAAAGCUUAAACUGUUAGAAAACGACGUUUAUAUAUUUAACAUUCUCCCUCGUGUCUAAACUUGGAGGGAUUCUACACUGUCACACUUGUACCACGUCAUUAAUAACAAGCCAAUCGCAUUUUUUCUUUUCAAACAAAAGUACAAUAAAAAUAUUUUUUUAUAAUCAUGAUGGGACAUAUAUCUUUAAAAGAAAAUAUUUGAUUAACUUAUUAUGCCACGUUACUAAUAUACCCGUUGCAAUCUAGAAUUUUUCCUAGACUUGAGAGUUUGACUUGAAUUUAAAUUAAAUGAGAGAAAAUUGAUAAUGCUAGGUGCCUGAUGUGGCUCGAACUUAGGACCUACUGCUCUGAUACCAUGUUAAAGAAUACUAAACAACAGUUGUACUCUAAGGCCCCGUUUGGUUCGGGGGAUAAGCGGGAAUAACAAAAGUUAUUCCCGCUAUUCCGCCAAACGGGGUUAUUUUUUACCAGGAUAUUUUAUUCUGGUCAAAACUUGCUAUUCUCGGUUAUCCCGGAAUAGCAAGCUUUUUACUAUUCCACCAUUUUGGUAGAAUAGUGCUAUUCCAAUGCUUAAUUUUAAAUUUAAUUAAAAUUAUAAAAUGAAUUAAAACUAAAUUAUAUAAAUAUAUAUAAUAUAUUAUUUUUAUUAUAAAAUUAUUAAUUGUACUAUAUUAAUACAUAUUAUUUAUAUUUAAAUAUUAUAAUAAAUUUUAUAAUAAAUUAUAUUUAAAUAUUAAAAUAAAUUAAAAUUUAAAAUUUAAAUAAAUUUAAAAUUUAAAAUAUUAUAAUAAAUUAUAUUUAAAAUUUAAAAUUUGUAAUCUCAAAAUUAAAGUUUAUAAUUUUAAAUUCCACAUUUUAAAUUUUAAAUUUAAAUUUUAAAAUUUUAAAUUUUUGAAAUUUUAAAUUUGAUUUUAUUUUUUUUCAAAUUUAAAUUUGAUCUUAAAUUUAAAGUUAGAAAUUUAAAAUUUAAAUUUUGAAUUUAAAAUUUGAGAUUUUAAAUUUUAAAUUUUAAUUUCAAAAUUUGAAAUUUAAAAGUUAAAAUUUUAAAUUUUAAAAUAUAAAUAUAAAAUAUAAAAAUUCAAAUUCUAAUAUAAAUAAAGGGAUAAUAUUAUUAUUUUUUAUUUAUAAUUACCGACUUUAAUUUUUAUUCUAUCUUAUCUAACCAAACGUUAUUUUUCUUAUUCACAGAAAUAACUCAAUUUUCAUCCAAACGCAAAAUUGAUUUAAUCCCCGCUUAUACUUUAAUUUAUACAUAUCCCUAGAAUACCCACUUUUUGUUUAUCCCCGAACCAAACGAUACCUAAAAACUUAAGCUGUUAGAGAACGGUGUUAAUAUGUUUAUAUAUUUAAAAAUCAUGCUCGAAAUAGUUCAAUCCCUAAUGCAAUGAAAGAAUAAAAACUACUGGAUCCAAACCCACAGGCUUAAGCUGCUUUUGUGUGUUUAAGUAGAGGCACCAAAUUCUGCUUGAAGCAGUAUUUAGCACCCCUUGUCUCUCUUCAACGCCACAUUAAAUAAAGGAUUAAUUUAAUACAGGUCCCUGCAAAUAUGAUGAAUUACAAAUCCAAGAAAAUUCAACUUUCAUAAGUUAUUUAUACAAAAGUCCUAAUAUAUUUAAAUAUGUUCCUCUGGUUAAGAUCUAUUAGAAAACUAUUUAUUUUUUAACAGUAGAUUCGUGAAAUGAUAUUUUUAUCCUCACAAAUAUGUCCCUCUGAAAACCCUCUCAAUUUUUGCUCUUUUCCUCUUUCUCUUCCUUCUUGGGCUGCGGGAGCGGGCGGCGGCGAGGCUGGGGCCCGCAGCGGCGAGGCGGAAGGAGAAGGUGCAGCCGAUUCAGAAGCGCUAGUGAUGACGGCCUACGCGAGCACGACGAUCAGAUCAUUGACGAUGACAACGAUGAGGAAGAAGAAGAAAGAGAAAAGGAGGAGGAUGCGAAGAAGAAGCAGGAGAGGAAGAGGAAGAGGAAGAAAAAGAAAGACAAAAUUGUUAAUUCAGAUUAUUAAUUAAUCAUGAUUAAGUAUUUUAAUUGUGGUUAACUAGAUUUUUCUAACGGAUCCUAACAGUUAGAGACAUCUAAAUAAUUAGGACUUUUGCAGGAAUAACUUAUGAAAGUUGAACUUUGUAAAGAUAUAUCUACUAUUCGCCACAUAUUUGCAGUGACCUAUACGAAAUUAACGCUUAAAUAAAAAUCUCUGUUUAUAACCUCUCAGAUUUUUAGCAGCUUUAAAUAAAAAUCUGGCAAUUGCAGCCGCUCGAUCCCCGAUCGAAUUCCUCCAUUAGCAUAAUUGUAGUAAUCCUUUUCUUUUAAUACGCGGUUAUUUUAUCAGCUUAAGGUUUAAUUAUACCUUAAAUUGUAUGCGUAAUGGAAGGUCUUUUAUCGACGAACUCGCAAAGUAAUGUUCUUUUAUUUACUCAGCUAGUGUAAUAUAUAUACCUCACUCAACCAUUAAUUAAUGCAUGCGCUAGCUACAACAUUAAUUAUUGGGUGCAUGCAUGAUUUGUUUGUUAAAUAUUGUUGUUCAAAUGGAGAUGCUAUUUGGAACGCCCAUCCCUGUCACUCCUGGUUUGGAGGAGGGCCUCAAGAGCUCAUACGGCACUAUUCCCGCGCCGCACCGGUUCUUCAGCUUCGGGUCGGCGUUCCGCGCGUCGAUUAUCCCCUCGAUCUCCCGCAUCCUGCCGUUGAACCUCUCGAACGCCGCGUUCACCACCGCGUCGGCCGCCCAGGCCGGCUCCGGCUCCUGCCCGAGGUACUCCUCGUCCGGCGAGUGCGUCGACAGCACGUCCAGCACGGACAUCACUUUCGUCGCCUGGAUCUGCGACGGGAAGCACUCCAGCAGCGCCGCCUCCGGCUUUCGCAAGAACCGCGCGAAGUCCUCGUGGCUCGUGCCGCCCAUGUCCUCGACCGGCAUGUUCUUCCGCGCGACGGUCGGCCGGUUGGGGAAGUAUCCGCCGAAGUGGUACUGCCCGAAGUUCACGGCGGCGUGGUGGCCCGAGGUCACCCAGAUUAUGGUUGUGAGAACUUGGGUUAGUUCCGACGGCGAUGCCACCGUCGGCCACCACGGCUCGUCCUUCUUGUCCGCGUGGCCUUUCGUCCGGACGUCCUCCCACCAGGCCUGCAGCUCGUGGUCCGCCGUCACGUCGGCCGCCGUCGGGUAGUAGCGGUUGACGUAAUCGCCGACCCACUCCUUGAUCGAAGACCAUAUCAGUAGGCCGUCGUUCGCGAACGGGUAGUCAUUUAUCGUCAGCCUUAGGCCGUGCUCCGCCGUCGGAUCCUCCACCGCCAUUCCCCUGCAAAUUCAUUCAAAAACACUAGUAUAUAUUAAGUUUUCGGAGAACAACGGCUGUCCAAUUCAUCGUAUUUAACAAUCAUAUAUAUAUAUAUAUAUAUAUACACCUUCGGAUUAGGUCGGCCGGCAGGGCNUAUAUAUAUAUAUAUAUAUAUAUAUACCUUCGGAUUAGGUCAGCCGGCAGGGCCUCCAUGUCGAACCGCCAAAGCUUGCCGUAAGCGGCUGCGCUGAGCUCGGCGGAGUACUUGCCCGGGGAGAAGCAGGAUUCGAUGACGCCGCCGGCGUUGAUGAGGGACUCCCGCGCCAUUGCGUUGAUCUCCAUAGUGUACCGGAAGUGCGGGUGCAGCAAGCGGUAGAUCGGGUGCAUCGCACUCAGCUGUCGGUUCGCCGCGAUUAUAUACGGCUCUGUGCAGCAGUGAGUUCUCAGCCUAUACAAAGAUCACGAAGCAAAGAGACUACUUAAGUAUAUAUCAAAUAGUAUCAGAGCAGGAUGUCUCGAGUUUGAAUCUUUCUCAGAUACUAUCUCAUUUAGUUUCUGAACAUGCAUGGGGCUAGAGAGAGAGAGAGAGAGAGACCAGUGGAUGACAAGCUGGUGGUAGCCAGCGUCGUGGGAGCAGACGUGCGCUUUGGCGAGCCUCCAGAGCCAUGCACCCGUGGCAUCCCAGCUGCGGCCGAAGACUUGCUGCCAUUGAGGUUUCGUAGGGGAGGCCGGGCGGGUGAGUUCGAUGGCGAUCGGCAUCAACGUCUCGUCGCUGGUGAGAAAAAAGACGGUGCGGGAGGCGUACAAGGUCGUGUCUUCCAGCCCGCGCACCUUAUGCACAUACGGUAGCAGCAGGUCGUGGUAGUCCAGCACGAACAACCUUUUUUUCUUAAGGGCCUGAAAGAAUGACAGUAGCAUUAGUAGAGACAAAUCUUUUUUCACAGAUGCAUUGAAUCUGAUUAUACUUUUAAUAACUUCAAUAUUUAUUAAGUCUUUGAGGAAGAAUUAGAAUUACUACCUCCUCCACAGUCAUGACACCCAAAAUUUCUCUCUCUAUAAGUUCUGCAGUGAUAGCAGAUUUUGCUGGACCAUAAACCUCAGGAUCAAGUUUGCUGACAAAAGGGAACUCCUGCAUGAUUGUUGAAAUCAAUAAAUAUUAAUCAUCCAAUGCACAAUAAAAAUAGAAAAAUAACUUAAUAAAUUAGGAAAUGUACUAAGUGUUAAUAUUUCCAACAUACUGUGACAAGUUGAAUGCUAAAUGGAUUGAGCCCUGCUAGAGUUUGCCUAGAGAACUCCUCAUCUCUGAACCAUGCAAACUUGUCUCCUGCAGCAUUGAUGGUGCCACAAGUUAAGUGAGUUGGUAAAAAAUAAGAAAAUUUAUGCGCAGAUGCUAUUCUUACAAACAAAUUUUAUUAACCGUUUACGCUCUGCAAUGAGUCGUAAACGGUCGUGCAUAGAAUUCAGCUGUAAGCUAAAGCAAUUACGAUCGAUCAUCUCUGGAGCCUCGAAGAGAAGAACGUUGUCGGUGCUGUCCUCGAAGGCCUUGAUGACCCGCGGUAUUACGGUGCGGAAGAAGCUAAGACCCUCUUGCUUAGGGAGUUUGACACCCUCAUUGAACAGUGAAUCAAUGGCUGUGAAGUAGGGGAAACCGAGCUUCGUGUCGAUGAUCGCCGUCUCGAUCGAGGGGACGACUGCAUGGAGUACAGAUUUAAAGGCCUUCGCCGAGAAUGUCAGUCCCUUAACCUCGGAGAAGGCUUCGUCCCUCGGGACGUAUACGCUGCUGCUUCGUUCUUCUGAAAGUGGGUCUACAAGAAAAGGCAAAUAGUUGAGAUAUCAUAUGCUAGGAUGUUUAUGCGCACAAAUAGCUAUGUUAGCUAUGUAGUAUUUUGCGUUUACGACAUUCAUAUUUGAACUAUCUCUCGCAUAUAUACCUUUCUUGGUUCUAGGGCGACCGGUGCGGCAUCGACGCGGAUAAGGCAACUCUUUGCUGUCUCCAAGGACGGGCCUUGCCAUGUCCUGGCCUUUGUCGGGAUCGCCAAGAUCAUUGUAUGUGUCGUAGUCGUAUAUCCUCUCGAAUGGCUUCCGUUCCCCCGUGCCAUCCCCUCGCAUGUUCGCCAGCUCUUUCUUCCUCAGCCUCUCGAGCCCCGGUGGGGUUUGAGAAGGCAAGUAGGACUGCAUGCAUGCACGCAUUAAGAGAGAGAGAGAGAGAGAGAGAGAGAGAGAGAGAGAGAGAUAUAGAUGUUCACGUACCUUGAUGGUAAAGAAUUAUCAAACUUAAAAAAAUUGGAGAAACAAAGUAAUCUGAACUAUGAGAGAGAGAGAGAGAGAGAGAGAGAGAGUCGUUCACCUUCUAGUAAAAUUUUUUUUUAAGAGAUAGAUAGCAUGCUACUCGCUUUGUGUAUUUCAUUUAGAAAUAAACUUAGCUAAAAAUGUGAAUCAACUAUAAUUCGAACUUGAGAUCUUGGGUACCAACCACCAAGUCUUUUGCCAUUUGCGAUAAGGACAGUCGGUCUUUCUAGUAAAGAUUUGUCAAAACAAAGUAAACUGAACUAAUUAGAUAAAGAGAUGCUAAACCUUGCUAGUAAAGAAGACCCUCUUCUCAGGGUUAUCAAAUUUGGAGUGCACCCACGACCUACAAUCGAUGGUGAGGGAGGUGGCGUCGUCGCCAGCAGUGGUGAGCACGAUGUCGUGGAGAUACAUCUCCUUGUGGUGUUCGUUCUCCACCACCACCGCGCCUACUUCUCUGAACGUCGAAGGGACCGAGAACUCGCCUUCAUACUUGACCUUGUCACAAUGUUGGCUUGCUUUGUGAGCGUAGCCCGCUAUGGUCUCCUUCUCCAACCCCGUUCCUGUUAAGUGAAACAUGAUUAAUACGAGUAAUAUUACACUUACAAACAAAUUUUACAAUACUUUAUAAACUAGCAUAUGCAAUAGUAUGUUUAUAUUAGAAAAGUGUAAAUCACUAGAAGGUAAAUAUAACUCAUAAUUUAAAGGGUGAAAUCUUACCAUUGAUCGAGUUAUAUAGUUUCGUAAAAUAUUGUAAGAUUUGUUUGUAAUUAGCAAAGCAUUUUGUACUCAUUUUAAUCAUUCAAUGUCAACAGGUCAUUUAGUCACUACUAACUAAGUAUAGAAUUAAAAACUGAUCAUAUAUAUAUAUAGAAUUGAGCUAGAAUACUAUCGGUAGCAAAUGGGCUUUGUCGCCACCCAUUUGUUUUUUAUGAUGGAGCCUCUAAAUCGACGAUCGGUACCGUUGAGCAUGAUCCAUACCACUUGAAGUGUUUAGAAAUCAAAUUUCAUACAUUUUUGAUAUUGUUCUCUUAUCCAUCGAGUGGACACAAAAAUGAACGGCUGAAAAUGAAUAUUUUUUAAAAAAUGAUGAUAGGAGUAUUGUAGUCAAGAUCAAUAGUAUAGAUCUUGUUUUAAAUAGUUUAAAGAAUUUUUUUACCAAAAAUUCAAUUGAUUUGGAUAUCUUUACACCGUUAAACGAGAAAACGCCUCAUAUCGACCAUUAAAAUUAUAAAAUUUGAAACUCUUUGAUCAUUAGGCAAAUGAUGUCAAAAAGGUUUGAAAUUUGAUUUAUAAACACUUCAAGUGGUAUAGAUCAUGUUCAACAAUGCCGAUCGUUGAUUUGUAGGCUCUAUCAUCGAAAGCAAAUAGGUGGCAACGGAGUCUGUUUGCUACCAAUAGUAUUCUAGCUCAAUAUAUAUAUAUAUAUAUAUAGUCGGCAACGGAGCCCGUUUGGAGCCUCUAAGUCGAUUUGGAGCCUCCAAAUCGACGAUCGGCACCGUUGAACAUGAUCUAUACCAUUUGAAGUAUCUAGAAAUCAAAUUUUAUACAUUUUUUAUAUUGUUCUCUUAUCUAUCGAGUAGACACAAAAAUAAACGGCUGAAAAUGAAUAUUCUUUAAAAAAUGAUGAUAGGAGUUUUAUUAUGAAGAUCAAGAGUAUAGAUCUUGUUUUAAAUUGUUUAAAGAAUUUUCUAAUAAAAAUUCAAUUGAUUUGGAUAUCUUUACGCCGUUAAACAAGAAAACACCUCAUAUCGACCAUUAAAAUUACAAAUUUUGAAACCCUUUGAUCAUUAGGCAAAUGAUGUCGAAAAGAAUUGAAAUUUGAUUUCUAAACACUUCAAGUGGUAUAGAUCAUGUUCAACGAUGCCGAUCGUCGAUUUGGAGGCUCUAUCAUCAGAAACAAAUAGAUGCAACGAAGCCACGUUUGCUAUCUCUCUCCUCUCCCCUCUCUCUCUCUCUCGUCAGGCAACGCUCUCUCUCUCUCUCCUCCCUCCGGAUCUCUCUCUCUCUCCUAUUAUUAUAUAUAAUAUAUAUAUAUAUAAUUAUAUAUUACUAUAUAAUGGAGAUUUGCAUCUAUACCUAUCGGAUAGUAUCAAAAGCUUUUGGCACAUAAUCAAAAUCUUUUUAACCGUUAGAAAUCUAUUCUUUAACUCAUUAUUUACCUGUUAAAAUUAUACUAAUUCAAUCGCAACCACACCAUAUUAACUUUAGAAGAACUCUACCAUCAUCCUAACCGAAGAUCACUCACUCAUUCUACACCACAUACAUCAUUUCAUCAAACGCCCGAAAACUAGAUAAUAAACAACCGUUAGCUACUAUCGAUAAUAUCCUUUCAUCCAACAGGCCGAAAAGCUUGAUAGAAUCAAGUGGCUAAUUAUAACUAUCGAUAAUAUAGUUGCAUAAUAUAUAUAUAUAAUAUAGUAUAUAUAUAUAUAUAUAUAUAUAUAAGAGAGAGAGAGAGAGAGAGAGGAGAGGAGAGAGAGAGAGAGAGAGAGCCGUUGAGCUAAAUACUAUCGGUAGUAAACGAUGCCGUUUUAAUUACGCGAUUUGUUUUCGAUGAUAGAACUUCCAAAUGAUGUCCGCAAAAGAUUGAAAUUUGAAAUUCAAAAACACUUCAAGUGUACUAGAUCAUCAUUCAAUGGCUCCAAAAUCAAUAAAUUUCACUGGACGUAAGUGAGCUCGUUUUGCAAGUUUAACGUGUAAGAAAUUCCAAAUCAACAUGAAAAUUUUGAUAGAAAAUUUCUUAUAACUUACUAUAUAAAACAAAGAUCAAUAUCUUUGAUAAAAAUUUAUGUCAUAUAUUACAUUUUGUAAGAAUUUUUAUUUUCAAUCUUGAUUUGAGCGCCCCCUCGUUCACUAGGCAAAAUAUAAUGUAAAUAAAAAUCUUUAUUUUCUAAGUACUUGCAAAAUACUCUAAAUAAAUUUAAACGGAGCGAAUCGACCGAGUUGAAAAGCCAGCAACAUCGAAAACAAGAGACUGAAGAACGGCAAGCAAUCUCGUAACUUCGACUAGGUAAUAAGUAGCCUCACUUAUAUAUAUAUAAUAUAUAUAUAUAUAUAUAUAUAUAAUAUAUAAUAUAUUAUAGCCAGGGCUGCUGUGCUUCAGGAUCACACCCGGCACGGAGGCCUCCGUGCUCCUAGACCGUUUUCGAUGAUCUGAGUUUUCGAAUCGACGAUCGGUUCCGUUAAACUUGAUCUAGCGUAUUUGAAAGUUUUCUAGAAAAUGAAUUUUACGAUUUUUUGAUAUCAUUAUACUCUAGCAAUUUUCGAAAAGAAUUCAAAAUCAAGAUAAUUUUUAAACGGCUUGAAAAUAAAAAUUUAUAUUAAAAGUGUUGAAUAUAGGCAAUAAAAUUUCGAUCAAGAAUAUAAUAUUUGUUAUAGAUAGUAUAGGAAGAAUUUGUAUCAAAAUUCAUCUGAUUGAAUACUUUACACCUGUUAAACUGAAAACGGUAGAUAUUAACCAUAUAAAUAAUUAUGGAUUUUGAAUCUUUGCCUCACUAGGUAAAUGAUAUCAAAAAAUCGCAAAAAUUAUUUUCUAGAAACUUCAAAUGCGCUAGAUCAAGUCUAACGAAGCCGAUCGUCGAUUCAAAAAUUCUAUCAUUGAAAAUGGCUCAGGAGCACGGAGGCCUCCGUGCUCCUGAGAGCACAGCAGCCCCGCUCUAUAUAUAUAUAUAUAUAUAUAUAUAUAUAUAUAGUGUAGAGCUACUAUGCUAUUGGAAGUAUAAAGUAGUUGGUGCUUCCGAUUUUUUAGCCUUUGGAUCAAAAAUUCUACGAUUGGGAUGAUAACGGUCCCCUUAGAGUUGAGUGGUCCAACUAGAGUUGAGGGGUUCCCAUUGGUUAAUAAUAUUAAUCCAAUGGUUAGAAAUAAUCAAUGGGGUUGAUGUAAGGGUUAUAAAAUCGAAAGCACCAACUACUUUAUGCUUCUGAUAGCAUAGUAGCACUACUAUAUAUAUAUAUAGUGAGGCUACUAUGCUUUGGGAAGCACGGAGCCUUCCAUGCUUCCAUGUCGUUUUUCAUGUUGCGACUUUCGAAUCGUCAAUCGGCUUAGUUAAACUUGAUCUAGAGUAUUUCAAGAACCAAGAAAAUAAAUUAUGCAAUUUUUCGAUAUUAUUUACCUAGUGAACGAAGAGGCUCAAAAUCAACGACUAAAAAUAAAAAUCUUACAAAACAUGAUAAUAUGACAUUAAAAUUUUAGAUCAAAGAUAUUGAUCUUGUUUUAUAUAGUAUAAAGAAUUUUCUACCAAAAUUUCACGUGAUUUGGAUACUUUUAUAGCGUUAAACUUGCAAACGGCUCACUACGGCUAUUAAAAUUAUUGAUUUUGAGCCCCUUCGAUCACUAGGCAAAUGAUAUCUAAAAAUCAUAAAAUUUAUUUUCUAGGUGCUUCAAAUACUCUAGAUCAAGUUUAACGGAGCCGAUCGACGAUUUGAAAGUCGCAACAUCGAAAAUGACCUGAAAGCACGGAAGGCUCCGUGCUUCCAAAAGCAUAGUAGCCUCACUCUCUCUAUAUAUAUAUAUAUAUAUAUAUAUAUAUAUGAGUAGGGCUACUAUACUCUUAUGAGUAAAGAGUUCUUUGUACUCAUAAGUUGUUUUCGAUGUUGGGACUUUCGAAUCGACGAUCUACACCGUUAAAUAUGAUUUAGAGUAUUUGAAACUUCUAGAAAUAUAUGAGUUAAGUUGGUUUAUUAUUAUUAGUAGCCUGGAGGCCUUCGUGCUACGGUGCUACCAAGUUAUUUUCAAUGAUGUGACUUCCAAAUCAAUGAUCGACUCUGUUAGACUUGAUCUACACUAUUGAAAGUAUUUAAAAACUAAAUUUCAUAAUUUUUUGACAUCAUUUGGCUAGUGAUUAAAAGGUCUCAAAAUUGAUAAUUUUAACGAUCGAUAUAAUGUGUUUGUGAAUUUAACGGUAUAAAACAAUUCAAAUCUAAUAAAUAUUUUAUAAAUUAUUUUUUACUAUUUAGAAUAAGAUCAACAUCCCUAUCUUAAAUUCAAGUCUUUUCUUACAUCAUUCUUUUACUUUAUUGCAUCUCUCUCUCUCUCUCUCUCUCUCUCUCUCUCGGGCUAGUCAAAUGGUCUGCAAAUUGAUUAAUUGCCAUGUAAAAUACAGAUCAAACAAAUUGAUUAAAAUGUAGAAAAAGUAGUUGUGGGAUAGAAGAUUGGGGUAGCUAGUCACUUUUUGUAAACUAAUAUAUAUUAGUCUUAAAUUUUAGAAAGGUAAACUUCAAAUACCACUCCAGUAGUUUCAUACUUUCUCAUUUUAGUAUCAUAUAGUUUAAAAUGUAUUAAGUUAGUGUCCUGUAGUUUCAUUUUCAUUUUUUUGUCAACUUCUCCGUUAAUUUUUCAUUAAAUUAUAUUUAACAAACUUCAGAUACCCCACCAAAUUUUAACUUCAUCAUUCAUUUAACAAAAAAUUAGUGAAAUCGAUAAUAAAAAGAUAAAAAAAAUCAUAGGGCACUAAAUUGAUAUACUAUAAAUCACAGGGUACUAAAGUAAGAAAGCGUAAAAUCACAAGGAUGGUAUUUAAAAUUUUCCCAUUUUAAAAAUUUAUGUAUUAAUUAAUUUUAAAUAAUAAUUAAAAAAUUAGAGAUCUUAAUUAUGAUUGUAUUAGAUUAAUAAUUUUUAAUGUAAAAUUACUCAUGUUCAUAUAUUAUUUUUAGUAGUUUAAAAAGAUUGGAAUCAAGUAAAAAUGGCUUGCUUAAAUCAAACAAAUCGGAGUUGAAUGAAACCGACCAAAUUAUUUCGAUUAAUUUGCAUGGUUUGGUUCCCCCUUUUUUUUUUUGAAAAAAUUGUAUAAAUCGAACCGAAUCGAAUCAACAAAUGCUUAACUCUACCUCCAAAUUUAAACUCGUACAGAUAUUCGAAUCCCGUGAACCACCUACUCUGCUGGAAAGAAUUUUAAUUUUUCAAAAAAGAAAAAACUUUAAAUAUUUUUAUUAAAUUAACGCUUUCUUAUUUUAGUACUAUAUGGUUUAAAGUAUAUUAUUUUAGUAUCAUGCAGUUUCAUUUUUUUUUCUUUUCAUCAGCACCUCCGUUAACUUUCUGUUAAAAUAUAUAGAAAAAACUUCAGAUACCCUUCUCAUCGUUUAUCGAAUAUUCAUUUUAAUACUCUGUAGGUUAUCGAAUUUUUAUUUAGUAUCUUGUGGUUUUAACUUUUUCAUUAAUUUAACAAAAAAAUUAACUGAGGAGAUAACAAAAAUAAAAAAUUAAAAUAAAAAAUACUAAAGUAAAAAAACCACUGAACAACAGGAGUGGUAUUUGAAGUUUUUCAAAAAAAAAUAAUGAAAUAAUUAAUUUUCUAGUAGAGGAAGGGGUAAAACCGUAAAAAGGACACAUGACGUAGUGGUGAAUUUGUCAUACAAAAGCAGUCGUACGUAAAGCUGUUCAAAAUAUCCGACAUUUUAUACUCAAUUCGGACCCUAGCCGGACUCUACCUAGAUUUGAAUUGGACCCGAUAAAAAAUAAAUAGUAUACCAGUAAAAAAAUCAAUUAAAGUUUUGGAUUUGCGUCCCAAUAGUUUAUGUCAAUACCGGACUUGGACCUGACUUGAACAUGACCUUUUAAUAGGUAGGAUCCGGAUGAGUUUCUAAAUCCAGACCCGAACCUGGACUCAGACCCGGUGAAAUACCCGAUAAUAAAUUAAAAAAAAUUGAAGUUGAGGGAUCAAUUUCAAUAGAAUUUAUAGGUAAAGGAUUUUUGUGUCUUUUCAGUUUAGUGAAAAUCUUAGUCGCCCUGUUUAUUCUUUUUUUUUUACUCUUUUUUUUUUUAUCUUAGUUGUUUACUGCUUGAAUUAUUUCUUUGAACGAAUUUUAUUGGAUUGGAUGCAACUAAUUUGAAUGCAAGUUUUUUAUAGUGAGAGAUUUAUGAUUUGUCCAUAAACCGUUAAUAAAGUGUAUAAAAAAAGUGAAUACGAGUAUCCGUAUCCGAUCCAUAUUCGAUCUUAAGUAAAUAGGAUACAGAUAGUCACUAUCCAAAGCCAGAUCGGUGUUUUUUUAAUUCAAGUACCUAGAUCAAAACUUGAUUCGAAGUUAAAUUGAUAGAGUGUAUAUAUAUAUAUAUAUAUAUAUAUAUAUAUAUAUAUAUAUAUAUAUAUAUAUAUAUAUAUAUAUAAAGUAGUUCUCCCGUGCUUAUGAAAGUACGGAGGCCUACGUACUUAUAAGUUGUUUUCGAUGAUAGGACAUCCAAUUCGACGAUCGGCUCCGUUAGGCAUAAUCUAUGCUAUUAGAACUAUCUAGAAACCAAAUUUUAUAAUUUUUCGACAUUAUUUACCAAGCGAUCACAAGAUAUCAAAAAUUACUAUUUUAACGGCCAAUGUGGCACGUUUUUAAGUUCAACGGUGUAGAAGUAUCCAAAUUACAUGAAACUUUAAUAGAAAAUUCUACUUAACAUCAAGAGCAAGAACAAUACAUAUGAUUUGAAAUUUGAGUCAUUUAUCACUAUUUUUUAUGAGAUUUUUAUUUUCAACCGUUCAUUUUGAAGCUACUCGUUCACUAGGCAAACGAAGUCAAAAAAUUAUGAAAUUUGGUUUCUAGAUAGUUCCAAUAGCGUAGAUCAUGUUUAAUGGAACCGCGCCGAAUCGGACGUCCCAUCAUUAAAAACAACUUACAAGCACGAAGACCUCCGUACUUUCGAAAGCAUAGGACCCCUCUCUCUCUCUCUCUCUCUCUCUCUCUCUCUCUCUCUCUCUCUAUAUAUAUAUAUAUAUAUAUAUAUAUAUAUAUAUAUAUUACUCAUUUUUUAGAAUAUGAAUACAAUAUAUCAACUAUUCAGACGGCGGACCUGAUCCACGAACAUCUUUAAUUGUAAAAUUUAUUAUUAGUCCAAUCAUUUGCCCUAGACAACUACACGUGAUCGACAACUACGUCCACGGAAAAGGACGUUACCUGGUUGUUCCUAUUCCUUGUUCCUAUUCCUAGUACUAUUUAUUAGGGUUUAGUUUUCCACUUAAAAAAAAUUAUUUCUUGGAAUAUUUAUAGUGGUAGAAAAAAAUUUUUAGAAACUAUUUUUAUAGAUUCGAAAAAAAAUAGUGUUCUCGUUUUAGCCGAUUUUCGGAGAAAAAUAAAAACUCAAAUCUAGUAAAAAAAUUUUUAUUCAUUUUUUUAUCGAACCAAACAAAUAUAAAUUUUUUUAGGAUAAACUUUAAAUACUACAUCUGUACAUGGUUUCGCAUUUUCUCAUUUUAGUACCUUAGCUUGCGUUUGGUUGGAGGUUAAGGGGUGGAAUAACCCCUUAACCUCCAUUUAAUCCCCAAACGCAAGCAUUUAGUGGUGGGGUUAGUAAACCCCACCCCCCCUCCCCGCACGGCUCCCAAAAUAUAGAAUAUUUAAAACAAUAAAUAAAAUAUUUAUUUUAAAUGAUUAUAGUGAGGCUAUUUUAGUAAUUUUACUAUCUUUAUUAAUCAUUAUCUUUUUUAUCCCACCUACUCCAACCAAUCAUUAUCUUUCUUUAUCAAUCAUUAUCUUCUUAUCCAACCUACUCCAACCAAUAAUUAUCCUUCUUUAUCAAUCAUUAUCUUCUCAUCCCACCUACUCCAACCAAACACUAUUUUUCAUUAUUCUAGACUAACUCCAACCCCAACCAAACACAAAAAAACUUUAACCCCACUUUAACCCUGAACUUAACCCUAUCCCUGGAAUAGCUACUUUUUCCUUAACCCCGAACCAAACGGAGGCUUAUAGUUUAAAGUGUAUUAAUUUAGUAUCACGUAGUUUCAUUUUUCUCUUUUCAUCAGUCCCUCCUUUAACUUUUCAUUAAAUCAUAUACAAAAAACUUCAGAUACCCCAUCUAUAGUUUAUUAAAUAUUCACUUUAGUAUCUUUUACUUUAACUUUGUCACUGAUUUAACGAAAAAAAUCAGUGAAGGGAAUAACAAAAAGAGAAAAAUAAAAUCAUAGUAUACGAAAGUGAUACACUUUAAAUCACAAGGUACUAAAGUGAGAAAGUGCGAACCAACAGAGGAUGGUAUUUGAAGUUUUCUCUUUUUUUAACCAAAAAAUAUUAAUAAAAAAUUAUUUUUGUCCUACAAAUCAAAUACUAUAAAACAUAAAACUUUUUUCUACCAAACGUUUUUUUACGAAAAAUUAUUUUUUAUGAUUUUACAUGCAACCAAACAGCCUCUUAGCUUAAUCGAAAGAGAUUGUAUUCGUUUCACCAAAAAUUUCCACACUAACAUAUAAAAACAUAAAAAAUACUUAAAUUUUGCUGUUUGAAAAUUUUAAGUCGAUGCAUUUAAUUUUCUUCUCGCUCACUUGGGCACAACAGUGGAGUUGGUGGGAAACAGCAAAGAAGAUAUAAUAAGUGUUCAAUGGAGACAUGGGCCCGCAAGAAGUGGAGGAUGGAGAGAUAAAGUAUAUAGGACAGACCAAUUUUAAAAAUUUUGGUCNAAAAAAAAAAAAAAAAAAAAAAAAAGCAAAGCUACUGAAUAGUUUUUUGCAAAAAGACAUGUAUAAAAUAUUUAAAAAAAAUUAUAUUUUACUUUUUUUAAAUUUCAAGGUUAUGCAUUUACUAUUCCUCUCAUAGAAUUCAUCAUUAUUCCAUCUUAUUUCUUAUAAUUUAUAAAUAGAUAUAUCAAAAUUAUUUUAAAAAUAACAUAAAUAUAUUAAAAUAUUAUUUUUUUAUAUAACAUGUAAUGGUAAUUUGAUUAUUUUGUCUUUUUCAUUAACACUGUAAUUUUUUUUAAAAAAAAUUGAAAUCCUGAUGCGUGGGACAAAAUAUAGAUUUUAAAAGUAAAAAAAAAAAGCAAAAAUUUGUAUUUUAGCUUUUUUUAGUUUUUACUAAUUUUGGUUAACUACCAUCUACAACAAAUUAAAUUAAUUAGGCUAUUCCACUUUUGGUGAAACAAAUGUAUCUCUAAAUAAAAUUUUGAUUAUUUCUGAAAAGGUUCCUACAUGCAUUUAUUUCACUUACUUGACCUUUUAUUAUUUUUGUUUUUCACAUGGGCCUGUUUGAUUUCAUUUUAAUAAAAAAGUCAAAGUGUACUUUUCAAGUACUCAUUAAUUACUCUCUCUUAAAAUUUUUUUUUUUUUUCCUGCUUCUGCAAACUUAAAAAAAUGAUGCACAGAAAAACAAAAUAAAAUAAAAUAAAAUACAAUACUAUCCACCAAGCUAAACAAAAGAUAGUGUAAUUUUUUUUCCCCUUGAAAACUCUUCUAUAUUAUGUUGUUUUAUAUAAACUGAUAUAAUUAUGUAUGUAUAUAUUAGAAAUUUAGUAUGUGUCACUGUAAAUCCUUAAUAAGUACUUAAAAAAAAAAGGUGCAGUUACAAAUCGACUUGGUUGGAUAUAUAUAUAUAUAUAAAAUAUGUAUGUGUGAGUACAUGCAAAUUAGCUCAUUAAUUUGCUUACAAAAUGCAUAUGUAAAUGUAAAUUCUUUAAAAAAAUUUGAAAAAAAGAAGGUACUUAAGCGUUUGAUUAAAUAUAAUUAUAAAUACAGUGUAGUUGAAGAUGUAUGUUAUUAGAAAUGCAGUAGUUGCAACUACAUUCAUCCUGUUUGUAGUGAAAGCGCUAUAAUUAUAAAUAAUUUGUUUACUUGGAUCGAGCUCAGAGCUCGCAAGCUCUAAGAGGAGGGUCUUCCCCAGCAAGUCGGCGAUGUCGUCGAGGCCGCGGGCGAGGCCGACGUUCGAGAGGGCUCCGCCGACAGUCGACUGCACCGUCACGACCACUUUCACCUUUGCGGGGCUCUUCGUCGCCAUUGCUGCCGGCGCCGCAGAUCUUGCCGCCUCCUCAUUUGCAGCCUCGCAGCGCACCCGAAGAGCCCUCAGAGUCGCCUCUCGACGACGGCUUAGACACGAUUGCGACCGCGUAUAUCGCGGUUUCGGGAUUGUGAUUGGGUAUAUAAUUGGAUUGAGGGAUGAGGUAAAGAAGAGGGAGGGGGAGUGGUUUUGUGCUUGUAACAAGGGCUUCAACAUUUUUUUAUUUUAUUUUAUUUUUUUUGGUGUGUGUCUUGAGUUGUAUUUAGUUCAACGUGGGAGCUGAUGAGGACUGAGGAGAGAGAUACUUGAGGGUUUUGGAUGGGGAUGAUCAUAUAUAUAUAUAUAUAUAUAAUAUAUUAUAUAAUAAUACUAUUAGUAUAUAUUAGUAGUAUAGUUAUAUAUGAUAUAUAUAUAUAAGGAUAAACUUCAAAUAUUGGUUUCGUACUUUCUCACUUUAGUAAUCUUUGAUUUAAAGUGUAUCAAGUUAGUGCCAUGUGGUUUUAUUUUUAUCUUUUUGUCAGCUUUUCCGUUAAUAUUUCGUUAAAUUAUAUAUAAAAAAUUUCAGAUAUCCCACCUAGGUUUAUCGAUUAUUCACUUUAGCACCCUUUAGUUUUAACUUUGUCACUGAUUUAACGAAAAAAAUUAGUAAAAUAGAUAAUAUAUAAAAAGAUAAAAAUAAAACCACAUAACACUAAAUUGAUAGUACACUUUAAACCACAGAGUACUAAAAUGAGAAAGUGUGAAACCACAGGGGUAGUAUUUAAAGCUUUCCCUGUAUACAAUGAGGAGGUAUAUAUGUAGAGUGCUAUAUAUACAUAUACACUUAUGUGCAUGUUCAUCACUGUUUUGGAAUACAAUCCAACCCGCUAACAAUAAUAACUUAUUAGACCAAAACCAUCGGCCUGAAAUACUUUAGCCUAGUUAUUAUUGUUAGUAUAUCCGUCACUUAUAAACCUAUCAAACUUUUCUAUAUUAUCCGACGUGGAAUUAUUGGGCUUACAUUCUCGUCAGCCCGGCUCAAUCAUACAAAUAGUCACAAAUUUAUUAGGCGAUGUAAGACCUAUAUUAUAUUUUCGACUAGUUAUCAUUCAUCUCUAAUUGCAAAUGUAACGAGUCGACACGUCAACAGUAAUAACUCGUUGGAUCCAAAUCACCGGCCCAAAAUACUUAAAUCUAGUUAUUAUUGCUAGUAUGUCUGUCACUUAUAAAUCCAUCAUACUCUUUCAUAUUAUCUGAUGCGGAACUAUUGGGUUGUCACGGACACUCUCUCUCUCUCUCAAAAAAA